GAAAUGCGAUAAGUAGUGUGAAUUGCAGAAUUCAGUGAAUCAUCGAAUCUUUGAACGCACAUUGCGCCCUUUGGUAUUCCUUAGGGCAUGCCUGUUCGAGCGUCAUUUAAACCUUCAAGCUCAGCUUGGUGUUGGGUGACUGUCCGCUUCACCGCGGACUCGCCUCAAAAUUAUUGGCGGCCGGUACAUUGGCUCUCGAGCGCAGCAGAAACGCGUAACUCGAGGUCCUCGUGCUGGCUCCCAGAAGCUAUCUUCACAAUUUUGACCUCGGAUCAGGUAGGGAUACCCGCUGAACUUAAGC
rnacentral:misc_RNA from 1 species